AUACUUACCUGGCGUAGGGUUACCGUGAUUAUGCAGGCGGUUCCCCCAGGGUGAGGCUAUUCCAUUGCACUGCGGAGUGGUUGACCCUUGGGAUUAUUUGUAUUUUUCAUAAGUUUCACUCAUUACUUCUUUCGAGUGUGACUUUCGCACACACACAUU
rfam:Bombyx mori DNA, contig: Bm_scaf23_contig15773, strain: p50T/Dazao, build 2, whole genome shotgun sequence.